rnacentral:rRNA from 1 species
UACGAAGGGGGCUAGCGUUGCUCGGAAUCACUGGGCGUAAAGGGCGCGUAGGCGGAUCUCUAAGUCAGAGGUGAAAGCCCAAGGCUUAACCUUGGAAUUGCCUUUGAUACUGGAGAUCUUGAGACCGGAAGAGGUGAGUGGAACUGCGAGUGUAGAGGUGAAAUUCGUAGAUAUUCGCAAGAACACCAGUGGCGAAGGCGGCUCACUGGUCCGGUUCUGACGCUGAGGCGCGAAAGCGUGGGGAGCAAACAGG